rnacentral:lncRNA from 1 species
UCCUUGAUGGUUGUGAAUCUGUUUUGGGUGCUGCUUUGCUAGCACUUUCUUCUUUCCCUUUCUGCCACUUAUUCCUACCUUUAGGUACAGCUUUAUCACCUUUGUUGUUGUUGUUCCACCCUGGCUUCCAAGAUGGAUUAACACUCGAAGUUCCUAACGGUUGCCUAGCUGCCCCUUUCCUCUUCAGCUGUCUCUCUACCUUCAUAGCCACAUGCAAAAUAUCUUCCAACUCCACAUAAUGUUG